rnacentral:rRNA from 1 species
CUGGCGGCGUGCUCAUACAUGCAAGUCGAACGAGAAGCUAACUUCGGUUAGUGGAAAGUGGCGGACGGGUGAGUAAAAAUGUAGAGAAUCUGCCCUAGAGAGGGGGACAACAGUUGGAAACGACUGCUAAUACCCCAUAUGAGCGUAGCUGAGAUGCUAUUCUUGAAAACUCCGGUGCUCUGGGAUGAGUCUGCAUCUGAUUAGCUAGUUGGCGGUGUAAUGGACCACCAAGGCGACGAUCAGUAGCUGGUUUGAGAGGAUGAUCAGCCACAAUGGGACUGAGACACGGCCCAUACUCCUACGGGAGGCAGCAGUAGGGAAUUUUGCGCAAUGGGGGAAACCCUGACGCCAGCAACGCCGCGUGAUUGAAUAAGCCUUUCGGGGUGUAAAGAUCUGUCAGUAGGGACGAAACUUGACGGUACCUACAGAGGAAGCAUCGGCUAACUCCGUGCCAGCCGCGGC